rnacentral:rRNA from 1 species
AACGAACGCUGGCGGCAUGCCUAACACAUGCAAGUCGAACGGGAUCCUAGCUUGCUAGGUGAGAGUGGCGGACGGGUGAGUAACACGUGGGAAUCUGCCUUUUGGUUCGGGAUAACCGCGGGAAACUGCGGCUAAUACCGAAUGCCCUCGUGAGAGGAAAGAUUUAUCGCCAGAAGAGGAGCCCCGCGUCCCGAUUAGGUAGUUGGUGGGGUAAAGGCCUACCAAGCCGACGAUCGGUAGCUGGUCUGAGAGGAUGAUCAGCCACACUGGGACUGAGAUACGGCCCAGACUCCUACGGGAGGCAGCAGUGGGGAAUAUUGGACAAUGGGGGCAACCCUGAAUCCAGCAAUGCCGCGUGAGUGAUGAAGGCCUUAGGUUGUAAAGCUCUUUUGCCAGGGAAGAUGAUGA